rnacentral:rRNA from 1 species
UACGAAGGGGGCUAGCGUUGCUCGGAAUGACUGGGCGUAAAGGGCGCGUAGGCGGCUCAUACAGUCAGAUGUGAAAUUCCUGGGCUUAACCUGGGGGCUGCAUUUGAUACGUGUGGGCUUGAGUGGGGAAGAGGGUCGUGGAAUUCCCAGUGUAGAGGUGAAAUUCGUAGAUAUUGGGAAGAACACCGGUGGCGAAGGCGGCGACCUGGUUCUUGACUGACGCUGAGGCGCGAAAGCGUGGGGAGCAAACAGG